UUUUUGUCCCAGCCCAUUACCGCUCCGCCCCUCACCCUUUCAUUUGAGCGAGGUAGAUAGAGGAACAUGCGCUCGGGCAGUGGAUGUGAUUCCUUCAUGUUCAUGUCGAUUCCGUGACCCCCCACCUGUGGAGCUUGAUUUGUCUCUCAUUUCUCUUCAAUUCUCGCCUCCUGUUGUUGGUUGUUUUCUCAAUUUUUCUCUCGAGUGCGUGAUUUUUGUUCAUUUCUCGGUGUGUAGCUUCCAGAUCUGGGGUCAGUUGCUGAUGUGAUUUAGUAAGGGUUCGUGUUAGAUGUGUGUUGUGAUCCUAGGCCGUGCUGUUGUAGAUUCAUGGUAGGUGCUUGUAGUUUUAUGGUUCGUUCUGCUUCGCGAUGUUCGCCAUCGUUCCUUGUCUUCUUAGUGGUGUCCGCCAUUUUUGUUCCUCGUCUGCUCGUGGUAGGAUCAUGCGUGGUUAGUUUUGUGAUUCAGAUAAAUGUAUGGAUCAGUCAUAGGUUUCGAGAUGUGAGUUUUUGUGGUUUGGGGUUUGUGAUUUGCGUUGGUAGGUGGUAUGUUUGUUCGCUGGUAGAUGAGUGUUUCCUCCUCUGGGCGUGUUGGUUCUACGGUUUCUAGAUGUUUCUGGAUGUUUCUAGAUGUAGUUAGGUUCCUCCUUUGCCCUCUGCCGCAGGUCCCUUUGGCCUGUGAGUGCAUAAAUCCCUCUUACUGUAGGUUUAGAUGUUGUUAGGUUCCUCCUAGUUACCCAAAGCGUUAGUGCUCUGUUUUUUGAUGUGUCAUUCUUUGGUGUAGCCCAGUACUAUCCUUGGUGUGAUUUUUAUGUGCUUUUGCAACGUAAUUCCUUCAAGCUUCUCCUUCUUUUAAUGCCCUGGGAACUGUGUAUCUAAUUCAGGUUUAUAUAUUUGCUUGUGCUGAGUGUUGUUAUGUAUCCCCAUAGUUUCAGUGUCAUAUACACUAGAAUUACUGAGUAUUUUGCCUCAGACUUACUGUGUAAUCCCCAUAGUUUCAAUGUAAUACACCAUGCAAAUUGCACUAUAUUUACUGUGCCCAUAGUUUCAGUGUUUUUUCACUCUAGAAUUACUAGUAUUUACUGUGUAUUUUGCCCGAUUUUUACUGUGUAAUUCAUCAUGUAGUUUCAGUGUAAUUUACUAUAGAAUUACGGUGUCAUUCAUCUUGUAGUUUCAGUGUAAUUCACUAUAGAAUUUCCGUGUAUUUCAUCCUAUAGUUUCAAUGUAAUUUACUAUAGAAUUACCGUGUAAUUCAUACUGUAGUUUUACUGUGUAAUUCGCUCUAGAAUUACUGUUAAUUCAACCUGUAGUUUCAGUGUAAAUCACUCUAGAAUUACUGUGUCAUGUUCACUCUAUAAUUACUGUGUAACUCGUUAUGUAGCUUCAGUGUAAUUCGCCCAAUAAUUACUGUGUAAUUCGCCCAAUAAUUACUGUGUAAUUCAUCCUAUAGUUUCUGUGUAAUUGUUCCUUAGUUCAGUGUAAUUUAUGCGAGUUACCGUGUAAUUUUAAUGUUUCAGCUAUGUAAUUCCUGACAUUUUAUAUAGGCCCUGAUUCCAGUGUAAUUUCCCCUAGAAUUACGAUGGUUAUAUAUGUACUUACAGUGUAUUUUCUCACAUUUUUGCAGUGUAUUUAUCUUGGUUCAGUUAUGUAAUUCCUGAAUUUUUCCUCUUUUUUAUUUUUGUAUUACUCUCUCAUGCUAAUUUUCAUUGUAGUCUUUCUUCCCAUUUUUUACAGUGUACCCCUAGUUUUACCGUGUAAUCGCCUUGCUUAUCAUAUGUAUUUACAAUGUAAUUUUUGCCCUAAUUUCAGUGUAAUAUUCAUGCUUUUACCUCUGUAAUUUAUAUGUUUUAGUUUAAUGGGUAAGCUUUGGAAAGUCUCUCACCAGGACGUUCCGUUAGUAUCAUCUUUCGAGAGUGCAGAUUCUGUUUGUGAACCAUUCGUGCCUAAUGACUUUGCGGAAGAUGGACCGUAUCUGAUGUCUAUGGAACUUUCUGGUGAUGAAGGAUCCUUUGACAAAGCUCUUUUCAAGUUUUACGUCAAUCAAGUUUGUUUCCUUUUUUCUUUUUCUUGUGCUUGUUGAUUAUGUUGUUGGUUAUUUUUCUCUUGUUGAGGUGACUUUUGUCUUUAUGUUUUUUCAGAAGUAAAAUCAUUGACGAGGAAGUUAUCUUCUGCUGGUAGAAGAAAUGUGAUUAGUCCUCCUCCUUUUGCCAUGAUGCUCUCGUUUGGUUUUAGCUUGUUCAUCUUAUUAUUUCUGUUUUGAGUGCAUUAUUCGUGUGAUGUAGUAGUGUUUUUAUGAUCUAAGUUUUGUUUUCUGUUUUUUCUCACUUCUUGAUCUCUGUUUCCUUUCGCUUGUUGUAGAGGCAGAGACGAUCUACUAAUUACCCUACUUGUCCAACCUUCACCAGAUAUUCUAGAAUUUUUUUCUCUGGGGUAGUUGAUGGCAUGUGUCCUAGGUAUGGGGAUGUCAUCCAGACUUAUUGUUCUCGUCAUGCUCCCAAUCUGCAAUUUUGGAAAAGAAAUGUCAAUAAUAGUACAACUAGCAGUUGUAUUUUAACAGUGUAAAUACAGUAGGUUUUUUCCAGUGUAAGUUGUUGCAUUUUUACAUUGAUACAAUGAAAUUUCUAUGGAAUUUCCACCGUAAUUUAUAUGCAGCUUGCACUGGGAAUUACUAUGUAAUUACUAGGGGAUUUGCACCGUAAUUCUUGGUCUAUUGCAGUGCAUUUUCUUUGCCAGUUUCAGUGUAAUUUAUACAACUAUCAAUGUCACAGUGUCAUUUAUACAAACUAUCAUUUUGCACUGUAAUUCUUGGUGUGCUAUUUUUCUUUCCAGUGUCAUUCAGGCACAAUGUGUUCUUGAAGUGUAACUUAUACAACUAUCCAAGUUAUGUCUACUGCUAGUGAUGAAUUAUUUUCAGAGUGUCUAGUUUUUGUCUACUGUUUGUUUCUUAACAUGUAUCUAGUUUCUUUGACGCAUUUGUUUUGCAGAUAUUCCCUGUAAGAGAUGUGACGCGGGCGAAGAAUUCAAGUACUAGGCGUAGCAGUAGAAUUUGUUCCUGACCUGUUAAUUUUCCUGGGAUUUCCCCAAUUGUCUGGUUGCUGUUCUUCCUUGCUCGUCUCCAGGUGAGAUCUCUGUUGUUAUGUAGGAGGGGUUGGAGAUUUCCCAAGGAGCUUGCCUUUUCCGUGGGUAGCAAGUUGAUGGCGAUCAUUAGCUGUGGAUCCAAGGAGGUCUGUGGCCAGUUGUUAGUGGUGGUCCAGCGAGGUUUUGUGAUGGUGCCAGUUUAGUUAAAACCGGGUCAGGGUUUUGCCCGACCCGUUUUUCCGAAAUAAGAAAAUAUACGGUGGCCAGUGGGGUUUUUGGGACAAACAAGUGUCAUCUGUUCAUUGGUUGGGAAAUUUGAAUGUUGCUGAAUUGGAAAACAGUCAAAUGUCAAAUAGACAGUCCC